UACGUAGGCAGCGAGCGUUGUUCGGAGUUACUGGGCGUAAAGGGUGUGUAGGCGGUUCUUUAAGUUUGGGGUGAAAUCUCCCGGCUCAACCGGGAGGGUGCGUCGAAUACUGAGGGACUAGAGUACGGGAGAGGAAAGUGGAAUUCCUGGUGUAGCGGUGAAAUGCGCAGAUAUCAGGAGGAACACCAAUUGCGAAGGCAGCUCGCUGGAACGUAACUGACGCUGAGACGCGAAAGCGUGGGGAGCAAACAGG
rnacentral:rRNA from 1 species